UACGGGGGGGGCUAGCGUUGUUCGGAAUUACUGGGCGUAAAGGGCGCGUAGGCGGUCUGCUAAGUUGGAUGUGAAAACUCUGGGCUUAACCCAGAGCCUGCAUUCAAUACUGACAGGCUAGAGUUCUGGAGGGGAUAGCGGAAUUCCUGGUGUAGCGGUGAAAUGCGUAGAUAUCAGGAGGAACACCAAUGGCGAAGGCAGCUCGCUGGGACGGUACUGACGCUGAGACGCGAAAGCGUGGGGAGCAAACAGG
rnacentral:rRNA from 1 species